GAGAGACCUUAAUUGGUGGUGAAGAAAAGAGACACAGGGACAUGAUUCCGCAUUUCCAAGCUGAACGGGAGCUGCAGGCAAGCAAAGGGCAACACAUAGGAAGACAGCUGCCAAGAGUGUCCUUCCACCUGCUAUUUGAAGGAGACACGUCUUCCUUGACUCUACACACGCAACAGAAACAAAAGGAACAUUCACACUUCUCACAGAGGAUUGUGAGAAGUGUGUGCUGAAAAUCCACAUGGUGGGGUUUUCACAAGAGAUGUGUUGUAUGGAAGAGCACAGCACCAUGUCAUUUGUGGAGAUGUUGCUUAUAUUUUACCUCCUUGGAAUGAAGUGUUCCAAAAUUCCACUGCAUUACUACUCCAGUAUAGUUACCAGCGAGCUAUGACGGAGGAUCACCAUUGUUCUAAUGGAAGUAUUCCAUUUCCUUUGUGAUAUUACAAAAGUCAUUGUGAUACAGUUAUGUCCACUGAUAAGGCAGUGGUCAAAAAGUGGUAAAAGGAACGGUGAAAGAUAAAUCCUGUGUUUUCAGUGCUAUUGUAUUUAGGUUUCUUUUUAAGAGGGAAUAUUACUACCCACAUACUUAUUUUAUUUACUGAGUUUUAACCAGUGUGUUCCUAUCGAACAAUUUAUUUACCACUGAAACCAAAGUCAGUUAGCAAUAAUACUGGCUAGUACAACUGUAGUGAAAAGUACUACUAACAGGUACCAACCUGGUUGCCACCCAGCUGCAUUUGCUUCAUGUUUAGUGAAAGAGAGAUCUUUUAUUAAUAGAAAUGUGUUGUAUGAACUGAAGGAAAGCUGUGAAAAUGAUUUUUGUACAAUAUUUGUAGCAACAUAUCAUCUCAUUGGGUGACAAUUAAGGCUCCAUGUCCGUCCCGGAGGUCACGGAAAUUAUGGAUUCUGUGACUUUCCAUGACUUCCAUGACUUCUGCAGUGGCCAGUGUGGCUCACCCCAGGACUGCCCAAGCAGCUGGCUCUGGGCCCAGCUGCUCAGGUAGCCACAGGGACAGCCACACCAGCCACCGCUGGAGCGACUCUGCAGCCAGCCGCUUGGGCGACCCCACAGCCAGCCACACUGGCUACUGCUUGAGUGGCCCUGGAGCCAGCUACAAAGGCCGCUGCCCAGCGGUCCCGGGGUGGCCGCUGCUCAGCGGUCCUGGGGCGGCCUCUGGCAGCUGGUACCGGUGGCCCUGGCCCCCCAGCAGCAGCCCCUAGUCCUCCCCCCAGAGCAGCGGCCCCACAAAGAGUAGCCCCCGCAUAAUUAAUGUUCAGUGUGUCAUGUUUUGUUACCCCUUGGUUU